UUACUCAAAAAUUUUUAUUUUCAGUCUUCUUUGUAGGAAUGAGAAAUGGGAAAGAAUUGCAUUCUGAUAAAUAGAUUAAUGGUUAAACAAAUCAUGGCACAUUCAAACCAAGGAAUUUUGUAGCCAUUUGAAGCUUGUAGUGAGCAGUAAAAUUGCCAACAUACGGUGAGUGAAAUGAAGUCACAGAACAGUAUUACUAGUGUCUAUCAGUUAUGUAAAGCUAACCAAAAACCGUGCAUUUACAUGUGUGUGUUUGCUAAUGCAUUUUGAUCAGGAUCUGGAGCACUGUAUCAAAGCAUCAUAAGUAGACUCCCUUUUCACUUUUUGUUCUCCAAUGGCUCAGAAUUGUGAACUCUUUACGGGCAUGUAUUUUACAGUUUUAAAACAAUUGUUUUUUGUUUUUUUUUUUUGGUGGGGUUUGGGGAGCAGGGUCUCACUCUGUUGCCCAGGCUGGAGUGCAGUGGCAUAAUUUCUGCUCACUGCAACCUCCGCCUCCCAGGUUCAAGUGAUUCUCCUGCCUCAGCCUCCCGAGUAGCUGGGAUUACAGGUGUGUAUCACCAUGCCCAGCUAAUUUUUGUAUUUUUGAUAGACAUGGGGUUUCACCAUGUUGGCCAGGCUGGUCUCAAACUCUUGACCUCAAGUGAUCCACCUACCUCGACCUCCCAGUGUUGAGAUUACAGGCAUGAGCCAAAACAAUUUUUAAAUACUGGGGCAAGAUCACAAUAGAAAGGAAGAGUUUGAAGACGUGAGUGACAUGGGAUAAAGGAGGAGGAAGUUCCCUGAGGAUUAGAUGAUGGUGACAGCAGUAGCAGCAGGAGCAGGUAACAUUCAUUUAGAGUUGAGAUGUGCCACACCCUGCUCUAAAUGCUUUAUGGAUAUCAAGUCCCCUUAUUCUCACUAGAAGUCUGGUAGACAUGAUUAGUCAAGGACACGGAGGCACAGAGAGGUGGAGCAACUCCACAGCUAGCAAAGCUGGGAUUCAAAGCCAGGCAGUCUGGAUGCAGGGCCAGUGCUCCAGCCACUGCCCCCUACUGCUGGCUGUUGGUGGGAUCCAGAGCAUAGGUGAUGGACUGGCCUGAGAGGAGGAGGGAAAGCUCAUUAAACCUCUGGAUCAGUUUGUUGCUGCAUUAACACUUUCUCACAAAUGUAAAAGCUCAAAACCACCACCACUGAUUACCUCACAGUGGUGUAGGUCAGAAGCCUGAGCAGGCUCAACUGGGUUCUCGACCUUGCAUCUCACAAACCCCAACCGAAGAUGUCAGCAGAGGUGGGCUUCCAUCUGGAGGCUCUGGGUAAGAAUAUGCAUCCAGAACCAUUGAGGGUGGCAGAAUGCGGAUCUUUUCAGCUGUAGGACUGAGAGCUCCAUUUCCUUGCUGGCUGUUAGUCAGGAACCUUUGAUGAGAGUUUGCUGCAUCCCUCACCAUGUGGCCCCUUCAACUCUAAAACCAGUAAUGAUGCGUGGAAUCUUUCACAGGCUUGGACUCUCUGACCUCCUCUUUGGUUAACAGCCAGGGACAAAUCGAGUUCCAGAGGGUUCUCAUGAUUUGGUUAGGAACACCCAGGUGGUCUCCCUUUCCUUGUACUGGUAACACAAUCUAGUCACAGGAGUAAAGUGCAUCCUAUUAACAGUCUGAAGAUUAGUGGGAGAAAUCAUGAUGCCAUUUUAGCCUGGGUAAUUUAUAAAGAAAAGACACCUGCCUGGCUCAAGGUUCUGCAGACAGUACGAGAAGUGUGGUGCUGGAAUAUCUUUCCGGUGAGGCCUCAAGAAGUUUACAGUCACGGUGGAAGGCAAUGAGGAGCCAGCAUAUCACAUGGUGACAGCAACAGCCAGAGCAAAAGAGGGAGGGAGAGGUGCCACUCACACUUAAACAACCAGAUCUGGUGUGAACUGACUCAUCACCAAGGGGAUGGCACUAACCCAUUCAUGAGGGAUCUGCCCCCAUCAUCCAGACACCUCCCACCAGGCCUCAUCUCCAACACUGGGGAUUACAUUUCAUCAUGAGAUUUGGAGCGGACAAACAUCCAAACCAUAUCAGUAGGAUGUCUGACAUUCAUCAUACGAUGUCUGAGUGAAGGGAGGUUUAAGGGCUUAUUUUGUCUCCCUGGAUAGUAAUGGAAAAUGUAUAUCUGAAAGAGAUGUCUGAAAAAGAAAGUUUAAGUGGGUGGCUAGAAACAGAGGAGAAAAAAACAGAGUGAGGGAAAAGGGACGAUUCACUUUGCAAGGGCUACAGGGGUGGACGGCUGGAUUCCAGUUAAAGCAGGAAGUGGAAGAAGGCUUCAGUAAGAGGGUAGAGAUCUAGAGCCCAGGUUCUCCAAGUGGGGUCCCCAAAUCAACAGUGUCAGCAUCAUUUGUUAGCAAGGCAGAUUCCCAGGUUCACCUCAGACCUAGGGAAUGGAAAAUUCUGGAAGUUGGUGAGUCGAGCACAGGAAUCUGCAUCUUAAGCAUGCUAGUUGAUUUGGAUGUCUUGGAGGUUUGAGAAUCAUUGAUGCAGCAUCUUUUGUGUUGUAUAAGAAUGCUUUUAUCAUGAAUGGGAUUGCAGAGGGACAGUAGCCAAUUCCUGGAAGAAGAGGACCGGCUGUACCUGGGUAAGAAAUGCUGAGCAUAUGGCAGAGGACAGAUGGCCUGUGUUCUGCAUGACAAGGAUAAGUGUAAGGCAAGGCUGAAUCCACUGGCCUUACAGUUUUCAGAAAUAGUUAAGUCCUGGCCAUUCCAAUCUCAACCGAUUGUUUUCCUGAGGUGGUAUUCCGAGGCCAAGAACAGGAGCAUUGACUGAUGAGACUUGAAGAAGGGUCAGUCUGGGCCUGGCUUGGCUGUUCCUUAAAAAGGAGGGAAUCCAAACCCCAGGAAAAGUGGCAGAAAAUGGGAGUGAGUUUCUGGGACCCUGACUGAGUGCCUAAAGCAGCAAGAGACCAGUGCUAGCCACAGAGGGACACACUUGCCUAUGAGCAAGAUCCGCUUCACUUUGGCGCAGCAAAGGAUAGACUUCCUCUCCUCCAGCUGCAGACACACCCUGGCCUCCUGAGAUGCCUCUACUGUGGCCUAGUUUCAGCUACAAGAGCACAGGUGGGCUGUGGUCAGGCAACAGGAAGAGGAAGAAAGGGAGGGAUGGAUUUUGGGAUGUGGAUACCUGACCUAGUACACAAAUCCCCCUAUAUUCCUAAACCUUUUCUGAGUCAGUCACUCUGUGAAAAUCAUGGGACUCUGGCAGUAGAAAGCAAGUGAAGUAGAAUGCAGCCACAGAAGAUUUUUUAUUGUUGUUUUAAGAACUCCCUAGCCCCCAAAUCAACAAAUCAUGUCAGGUAAAUAUAAA
rnacentral:lncRNA from 10 species